UGGAUCCAGACUUUGAUCAUGGCUCAGGAUGAACGCUGGCGGCGUGCUUAACACAUGCAAGUCGAACGAAGCACUCUAUUUGAUUUUCUUCGGAAAUGAAGAUUUUGUGACUGAGUGGCGGACGGGUGAGUAACGCGUGGGUAACCUGCCUCAUACAGGGGGAUAACAGUUGGAAACGACUGCUAAUACCGCAUAAGCGCACAGGACCGCAUGAUCCGGUGUGAAAAACUCCGGUGGUAUGAGAUGGACCCGCGUCUGAUUAGCCAGUUGGCAGGGUAACGGCCUACCAAAGCGACGGUCAGUAGCCGACCUGAGAGGGUGACCGGCCACAUUGGGACUGAGACACGGCCCAAACUCCUACGGGAGGCAGCAGUGGGGAAUAUUGCACAAUGGGGGAAACCCUGAUGCAGCGACGCCGCGUGAGCGAAGAAGUAUUUCGGUAUGUAAAGCUCUAUCAGCAGGGAAGAAGAAUGACGGUACCUGACUAAGAAGCACCGGCUAAAUACGUGCCAGCAGCCGCGGUAAUACGUAUGGUGCAAGCGUUAUCCGGAUUUACUGGGUGUAAAGGGAGCGCAGGCGGUGCGGCAAGUCUGAUGUGAAAGCCCGGGGCUCAACCCCGGUACUGCAUUGGAAACUGUCGUACUAGAGUGUCGGAGGGGUAAGUGGAAUUCCUAGUGUAGCGGUGAAAUGCGUAGAUAUUAGGAGGAACACCAGUGGCGAAGGCGGCUUACUGGACGAUAACUGACGCUGAGGCUCGAAAGCGUGAGGAGCAAACAGGAUUAGAUACCCUGGUAGUCCACGCCG
rnacentral:rRNA from 1 species